CGCAUGGUGUGUUGGGAAAGCCUUUGCGGCAUGGGAUGGGGUCGCGUCCUAUCAGCUUGAUGGCGGGGUAACGGCCCACCAUGGCUUCGACGGGUAGCCGGCCUGAGAGGGCGACCGGCCACAUUGGGACUGAGAUACGGCCCAGACUCCUACGGGAGGCAGCAGUGGGGAAUAUUGCACAAUGGGCGCAAGCCUGAUGCAGCGACGCCGCGUGAGGGAUGGAGGCCUUCGGGUUGUAAACCUCUUUUGUUAGGGAGCAAGGCAUUUUGUGUUGAGUGUACCUUUCGAAUAAGCACCGGCUAACUACGUGCCAGCAGCCGCGGUAAUACGUAGGGUGCAAGCGUUAUCCGGAAUUAUUGGGCGUAAAGGGCUCGUAGGCGGUUCGUCGCGUCCGGUGUGAAAGUCCAUCGCUUAACGGUGGAUCCGCGCCGGGUACGGGCGGGCUUGAGUGCGGUAGGGGAGACUGGAAUUCCCGGUGUAACGGUGGAAUGUGUAGAUAUC
rnacentral:rRNA from 1 species